GCCAGGCAUGGUGGCACAUGCCUGUAAUCCUAGCUACUUGGAGGCUUAGACAGGAGAUCAAGUUGAAAGCCAAUCUCAGCAACAUAGCAAGAUCCUUCCUCAA
rnacentral:sRNA from 1 species